UCCGUAGGUGAACCUGCGGAAGGAUCAUUACCGAGUUGAUUCGAGCUCCGGCUCGACUCUCCCACCCUUUGUGUACCUACCUCUGUUGCUUUGGCGGGCCCGCGGUCGGCCUCGUGCCGUCCAGCACCCGCCAGAGGACUACAAAACUCCAGUCAGUGAACGUCUCAGUCUGAAAAACAAGUUAAUAAACUAAAACUUUCAACAACGGAUCUCUUGGUUCUGGCAUCGAUGAAGAACGCAGCGAAAUGCGAUAAGUAAUGUGAAUUGCAGAAUUCAGUGAAUCAUCGAAUCUUUGAACGCACAUUGCGCCCCUUGGUAUUCCGGGGGGCAUGCCUGUUCGAGCGUCAUUUCAACCCUCAAGCUCUGCUUGGUAUUGGGCUCCGUCCUCAGGGACGCGCCUCAAAGACCUCGGCGGUGGCGUCUUGCCUCAAGCGUAGUAGAAAACACCUCGCUUUGGAGCGCACGGCGUCGCCCGCCGGACGAACCUUUGAAUUUUCUCAAGGUUGACCUCGGAUCAGGUAGGGAUACCCGCUGAACUUAAGCAUAUCAAUAAGCGGAGGA
rnacentral:rRNA from 1 species